AUGGUUGACAUGUCCUGUCACAUGUUGGGACUCCUGAGUUCUAUGAGACUGGGCCUGCUCAGAGUCGUUUCCGGCAGCUCUGUCAUCUCGGGGCUGGGGGGUGCUUUUCUGACUCUCCUUCACUCGGCAAACAGGCAGGUUCGUCUCAGCAUGAAUCUCAGAUAUCUCAUCCUUGUGGUCUUCCUGUGGCAAUGGCUGGGCACCAUGGGACAGGUCACUGUCAACCAGCAGGAAGGACAAGUCACAGUUAAGGAGAGAGACACCUUCCAGACCACCUGCACCUACAGAACUUCCAGCUUUGAUGCCUUGUUUUGGUACCAGCAGAGGAAAGGCCAAAGUCCCCAGCUGGUCUCCUUCCAGGCGUCAGAUGGCCACAAGCGCAGUGGUCGUCUCACCACCGAACUGAACACCACGGGGCAAUACAGCCUCCUGCAGCUGGAGGAAGUCGAGGUCUCUGACAGUGCUUUGUACCUCUGUGCUGAAAUAGGAUAUGGGACUGUAGUGGCUGCCAGGAGACAUUUCCACUGA